CCUACGGGGGGCAGCAGUGAGGAAUAUUGCGCAAUGGAGGAAACUCUGACGCAGCAACGCCGCGUGAGUGAAGAAGGCCCUCGGGUUGUAAAGCUCUGUCAGGUGGGAAGAACCCUCUGUAGUUGAAUAGGCUACAGAACUGACGGUACCACCAAAGGAAGCACCGGCUAACUCCGUGCCAGCAGCCGCGGUAAGACGGAGGGUGCAAGCGUUGUUCGGAAUCACUGGGCGUAAAGCGCGUGUAGGCGGCUUGACAAGUCGAAUGUGAAAGCCCGGGGCUCAACCUCGGAAGUGCAUUCGAAACUGUCAGGCUUGAGUACGGGAGAGGGAAGUGGAAUUCCUGGUGUAGAGGUGAAAUUCGUAGAUAUCAGGAGGAACACCGGUGGCGAAGGCGGCUUCCUGGACCGAUACUGACGCUGAGACGCGAAAGCGUGGGGAGCAAACAGGAUUAGAUACCCGAGUAGUC
rnacentral:rRNA from 1 species